rnacentral:rRNA from 1 species
CCUACGGGGAGCAGCAGUGAGGAAUAUUGGUCAAUGGACGAGAGUCUGAACCAGCCAAGUAGCGUGAAGGAUGACUGCCCUAUGGGUUGUAAACUUCUUUUAUAUGGGAAUAAAACGUUCCACGUGUGGGAUUUUGUAUGUACCAUAUGAAUAAGGAUCGGCUAACUCCGUGCCAGCAGCCGCGGUAAUACGGAGGAUCCGAGCGUUAUCCGGAUUUAUUGGGUUUAAAGGGAGCGUAGGUGGAUUGUUAAGUCAGUUGUGAAAGUUUGCGGCUCAACCGUAAAAUUGCAGUUGAAACUGGCAGUCUUGAGUACAGUAGAGGUGAGCGGAAUUCGUGGUGUAGCGGUGAAAUGCUUAGAUAUCACGAAGAACUCCGAUUGCGAAGGCAGUUCACUGGACUGCAACUGACACUGAGGCUCGAAAGUGUGGGUAUCAAACAGGAUUAGAUACCCGUGUAGUC